rnacentral:rRNA from 1 species
UACAGAGGGUGCAAGCGUUAAUCGGAAUUACUGGGCGUAAAGCGUGCGUAGUCGGUUAUCUAAGUCGGAUGUGAAAUCCCCGGGCUCAACCUGGGAAUUGCAUUCGAUACUGGAUAGCUAGAGUUCGGCAGAGGGAAGUGGAAUUUCGGGUGUAGCGGUGAAAUGCGUAGAUAUCCGAAGGAACAUCAGUGGCGAAAGCGACUUCCUGGACCGGAACUGACGAUCAGGCACGAAAGCGUGGGGAGCAAACAGG